rnacentral:lncRNA from 1 species
AAAGUAAUCACCAUAGUCAAUAUUUUAUUAUAAGAAAUAUAGGUUUUCUUAAAAGGAACUCUCCAUUAGAUAUAAAGGAACCAUUACAAAUAACUCCAUGAGUAACAAGUGAAUACCCCAAGGUUAUAUAUGACAACGAUCUAACAACCAAUGGAAUAUGUGCUAUCCGCCUUACUUACUGUACCCCGUCGGGUUGUAGGUUGAGGGCAGAUGCGCAUAAUCGAUUGUUUGUUUACUCCAAGUAUAUAUAACUUGUACCCACUUAUUACGCAUAGAAAGGCUUGUAGUGUCAUUUUACUCAACUCCCAUUUUAAGUAGGAAAUAUAUGAUUUUCUAGAGGAACAGGCAAACUUUACAAAACAACACCUUACAGCUUACAGUACUUUACAUAUACAUUUUCAACCACAUUUUUACAGCUUACUCACAUCACUAAAAUCUUAUGAACUCACCAGCUUAAUUGCUGAUCAACUCUUUCAAAUAACUUGUAUUCUCAGGAGACUAUUAGACAGGUGCUCGUGCUGGGACUUCAGAAGAUGGAGCAUUAUAGCUUCAAGUCUUGUUUUGUUAUUUGUUUAUGACUUCUAUGUUUUGUGAACACAUACAUUGUAAACACUUUCUUUCUAAAUGAAACGGUUAUUCAUUACUUGAUGACCAUAUACAUAUCUCGUGAUACUUGACAUGACGUCCUCCACCCCCGAAUGUUUCCGCCGUUCCGGUUUUGGGGUGUGACAGUUUGGUAUCAGAGCAUUGUUUAUAGUGAACUAAGUAUAUGAACCGAUAAAAGAUAUACGUCUAUAAAUACAAUGGGGCUUAAGUGCUCUAGAUAAUGAUAUAUUUUAGAUUAUAACUUGAAGUUAUAAAAAUAUACCUACUUGCUCAUACAUGUACAUAAUAGAACUAGGAUAACUAGGAGAACAGAACUAAAAGUAUUUAGAGGUUGGACACUGUCGUCAACCUGAACAGUUAUGUAAUCAUAGCUAGGAUCAAUAUAGCCUGAUCAACUAUAUUCAUUUGAGAUGUGACCAACAUGUGUUUGGGAAUGAUGUGGUGUUGCAACAGGGUUAAAACUUACCAGAAUGCCAGAACAAGUACAGUUAGAGUUAGAGUACUGUGGGAGUAUUCUAUGAUACGAUAGCGCGAUAACAAGUCUAAAACAUAACAAGUACAUUACGUUAGGAUACUAUAGGAGUAUUUUAGUCCAGAUACAUAACUUAUGUGAUAACUUAAAAGACCCUUGCGGAUAGCUCUAUAAUAUUACAGGGUAUAUUCAUAAAGUUUUAUAUAUAAUCAAGAUCUUAUAGAUAGACCUAGCAAUGGGGCGGGUUUGGAGCAAAUCGACCUUGAUCCAAACCCUUUUAACAAAUUUCAAAAUCCGAUCUAAACCCGCUCCGUAAUCCGCAGGGUUUUGAAUAAUCAAACCCAUACCCUUAUCCACCGAAUCAACAGAUAUCCAAACCUGCCCCAUAACCCGUAGUUUUUUUGAAUAAUGAAACACAUUUUACUUAAAUCAUAAAAUCACAUUUAUUAAAUAAAACUAAGUUUUGAUUUAGAAAACACAUUAUGUACUCGAGGACUUUCUAUUGGAAUUAAAAUCAUUAUUUUAAUUACUUCCAAUUGGUUUUUGAUAUUCGAUUGCAUUGAUAGAGAAUAGCAAUUACAAACUUUCUUUCAGUUGAUAAAUGACCUUAUUGACUUAUAAAUGAAAGUGGUGAUUACAUGAUGAAAUAUAAAUGAAUUGAAAUCAUGACUCUUGGGAGAAGACUGGAAGUCUAGAAGUUGAGUCCUCGAGUCUUAUGUAAAAACAAUUUAGUCUUUGGCCUUUUCUCUUUGGACUUCUUAUUGGAAUUUAAUGUAAACUUUAGGUAAUAUAAAAUAUAAAUUUAUAUUUCUAAAAUUUAUAUGGGGCGGGUUAUAAACGGAGCGGAUCGAUGAUGAUCCAUACCCGACCCUUUUAAUACAAGGGUUAGCGGGUACGGGUCGUUAACGGGUAAACGAAUCAAAAACUAUGCUCCAAACCCAUAUAAUUGUUAAGGGUUUGGAUCGGAUCAGGGUCAAAACCCGAUCCAUUGCCAGGCCUACUUAUAGACAUAGAAUCUGUGACCGACGAUUCGCUAUCCAUUCCUUUUAAGGAAGUAGAGUUGAGGUGGGAUCAAUUGUUCGAAGGUCUAUUUGAUCUUCAAUUAUAUACAAUACCAACUGGUAUACCUAGUAUAAUUAUAGGAAGAUUCCGUAAGGAUCACCCCAUAAAGUUACCUUAAAGCUCAUAGGUUCUUUAGUCACUUUCAUUCUCGCACGACAAGCCCAGAUAAACGUAACCACUUCCUCAUAGUAGACAACAGAAGAGUUCAGGAGGAACAAGGACAAACCAAUGAGAAGAUUUCAAGGCAAGAUCAGCCGAAGUAACCAAAAUGUCUCAUGCGUCACACUAAUAAAUAUUAACUAGGUUAAUUUAUCGAGGGAGUGGAAACACUGCUCACAUUACAUGUGUUAGAAUUAUUUUGAUACAUGCAGCUGGAAACAGUUAUUCAGGAAACAAAUAUUCAUUCGAGGAUAGUUAUUUCAAAUUCAUAGAGUUUAUUAGGUAUAGACUCAUUUAUGAAUUAUUCCUAGAACCCUAUGGAAGUCAGGACCCGAUACAUCCAGAACUAGGAUAACCUUGUCUUUUCAGCUUUCGGCUUGUGUCCGUUGCUAUAGACUUAUUCUGUCUCAUCUUUGUUUUCUUUUAGCAAAGAUGCCUCCUCGAAGAUCACCCAGACACGCUACUCCGAUAACUCCCAUAUCUUCUCUAUAAAUCGAUGCAGCAACUUUGAACGUUGUAGGCCGAGGCUGNAGGCUGUAGCAACAGCCAUGGCACAAUAUCACUCCACCAGUACAGGUGGAGGCGAAGCGCCUACCGAUUAUACUCAAGGUGAGGUCCCUGUGCGCCAGGGAGAGUUCUCCUACAAGGACUUCACCAGAUGCCAACCACUGUCCUUUAAAGGGACUGAAGGGGUCAUUGCCCUCCUGCAAUCGUUCGAGAAAACAGAGUUGGUCUUCGAAAUCUGUUUAUGCCCCGAAGGAAGCAAAGUGAAGUUUGCUGCCUACACCUUCGAUGGCAAGGCCCUAACAUGGUGGAACAGCCUUGUUAAGUCACUGACCCUACCAGUGGCAAAUUCCAUAGGUUGGGAAAACAUAAAGGAGUUAAUGCGGGAAGAAUAUUGCCCGUUAGGCGAGAUUCAAAAACUGGAACAAGAGCUGUGGGAUCUCACUAUGGUCGGGUCAGACAUAGUGACCUACACGGACCGGUUCAGCGAACUAGCAACUCUAUGCCCCGAGAUGAUUACCUCGAAAAAGAAGAAGAUAGAGAGAUACAUUUGGGGUCUGACUGCUCCAACCCAAGGAAAUGUGUUAUCUUCUAACCCAGCCACGUUCGAUAGUGCUAAACGCUUGGCUCAGCGACUCAUUGAUCAUGGAGUCUGCCACAGCGUAAAAGUCCCUAUUCCUGAGUCGUCAAGGGAAGAGGACUAUAAUCAGGAGCCAGAGAAAAAGAGAAAGAAGAAGCAGACAACACAAGACAUCCCACAAGAGCAACAAACGAGUACUAUGUACGCCGCAACGACACCUACUGCAUCAGCAUCUGCCAUUCGUUAUGCUGGAAACGUUCCGAAGUGUGGAAAGUGCAACUUUCACCACACUGGAGUGUGCCGAGAAAUGCAGUGUCUGAACUGCCACAAAAAGGGACACACAGUCCGUUACUGCAGGACACCGGCUCAACCGAUCUCCCAAGUCCUCGGAGCUGAAGAAAACCGAGCCUGUUAAGGCUGUGGUGAGAAUGGACACAUUAAGAGGGACUGCCCAAUAAUCAAGAACUCAGGCGCGGAUGGACGUAUUCUGAUGAUCACUACAGGAGAAUCUACCUCGGAGUCGUCGUCGAGUAGUGGUACGUUUUCAAAAUAGUACUUACUUUUAAAAAUUAAUUUAUAUUCAUAUAAGAUUAAAAUUUGGGGAUGACACUUAAAAGUAACUAUAACAACUCACAUGUUGAAAUAGGUCGUAAUAUUCAAGAGAAUUAAAAGAUCCCUUAGAGAAGCUAUUAUGAAUCACCAUAUACAUCAGGGUUGUGCGCAACUAAGAUGUUGCAGACCUAGAGUGAGCGACUCCGCUUAGGUCCCCUUUCCUUAAUUGGUUGAGGAUUUGAGGCAGAGAUGCUCAGUCGACUGCCUAAAUAAUCUUAAGUACUCACAACUUGUAUAUGACGGGCGAUGGUAGUGGUACCAUGGGGGAUCAUUGUAUAAAAGUAUCCUUUCAGUUAGUAAAGAACUUUUAUUUGUAUGUAUGCGCACAUAGCGGUACGAUACAUAGGAGUGUUAAUUUCAAAAUAGAAAACAUGACACUCGAGAUCAGUUACAAGGAGUACAUUGUUGAACAUACUAGGAGUACAGUACUAAGCAUACCAGGGAUACAUCGUCGUUCAUCAGAUGUUUCUUUCAUUUGACCAAAAAUUUGUUCGGUAUAGAGUUCGUUGUUUUCUUUCGUCAUGAGUUGGCGUGGUCCUCACCAUACUGAAGCCAUAUGUUUCUAUCACCUCGAUCGACAGGUUCUCGAAACUUUCGUAAUUCGUAUCGAAGGUCCGACCUAAACCUAAACUUUAUCUUUCGCAUUCUAAACCCUCGAAGUACUCGUGCGAAGAGUACUUUGUCCUCCGAAGCCUUAUCAUCAGACAUCCGCAGACCGUCACGAAAUACCACUCGUCCAGCAGACCAAUGUUCGAGUAUAGAGGCUAUGGACGAAUACAGCCCGCCUAUUAUUUUUCGAAUGUAUACGCAAGGGUGGUAUAUGAGUGUGAUUACGUAGACCUAGUAUGUGUGUUUCUGACCUAUCUUCUGUUUUCCUCGUGGGUUGUAGACCUGGGGCAGAGUCGCACAUCCGACAGUCCUACUAAUCUUAAUCAUAUACGGCUUGUAUACGCGAGGUAAUGAUAGAUGGACCAAGUAUGAAUCCUAUCAAGAACACUAGGGCAAACUUGCCAGGUCUACGAGUGAGUAUUCUACAAAGCAGAAGAGCUCAACCCCCAGUAGUAACGUUAAGAGCGCGAAUUGUGGGACGAAAUUCAUUUUAACGGGGGAUGAUGUGACAACCCAAAAAUUUCCAUUCGGUAAAACCAUCCACUACAAUUGAAGUCAAAUCUGUAUCAACUAACUAUCAAACUUUUGGGAUAAGUUUGAGUGUUUUAAGGUUAGUGCUCCAGAGGAUAUCAGGAGAGAGGAUACACUAGGGUUUAAUAUGUUGCAAUAAGUGCCCAAACCUUCAAGAGUUUGGAAUAUUACAGUCCAAAAAUGGUAUUCGGACCAAAAACCCUCAAGGCUAUAUAAAGAAAAUUUAGCCAUUUUGGAUUCAUUUGUUACAUUUCUAGCUAGAGAAAAGUCGAUUUUCUCUCUCAAGGAUCUUCACCCGAUCACCCCCAACUGUGAGUACUUCAACCUAGAAUGUAUAUAAGUGUGUUAUAUGCCUUCAUAGCAUGAAAAUCAAGCCAAAACAACAAGAUUUGGGAGUUUACCGCCCAAGAACAUCUUGGAGAGUAAACUCCUUUAUAAGGACCAAAGUGCUCCCAAUGUCCCUCCAAGACUUGGGACUAAACCUAGGGACUACCAUUACUUGUUUUAGACCCCCAAAACAUUAAGAAACAAGGCAAGAAGUGAGUUCACGGCCAAGGAAGUUCUUGGGCCGUGAACUCCAUUUUAGGGUGCCAAAAUGCCCUAAAUGCCUUCCAUAAGCCAAGAGACAAGCAUAGAACUUUACCUAGAUGUGUUUAGGACCCAAAACAACCAAAAUAUCAUCUCCCAUAAGUGUUUACGGUCGCAAACACAUGACCAAAUGGUCCAUGGGCCGUAAACUCAAGAUAGAGGUGUUUUGAUGCCACAAACACUUCCAAGGGCUUAGGCAUGAAUUUAGAAUGCUUCUUUAUGACCUUUAGGACCCUCAUAAGUAUAUUUGGCCAUGAGUUUACGGUAGUAAACUCAUUUGGUCCGUGAACACCCCAAAAGUGCCAAAAGAAGUGGUCUUUCUCAUCCUAGGUUAAAGCUAAUGUCCCUAAAUCAUUCCCUAGCUUUCAAACUUGCACUAACACAUGAGUAACCAUGAGUUUACGGCCGUAAACUCCCUUGGGCCGUGAACUCAUGGUAGUAAACUCAUAUGUGUGCCUUAUACCUUCCUAUGUUGAAUCACAUGUGAUUCCAACACCUAGCCAAGGUGUUUCCUAGUCCCGGAAGGUGUUAUCUUUCAUAUAGUUGUUUAUAAACACUAUAUUCAUGUCAUUAUGUGUCCUUAAAUAUCAUUUAGGACUUAUUGUGUCUCGGAACUUCAUUCGUGGAACUUCUCAUCCGUACGCGCAUACCCGUUUGAAUCACCCACAUCAGGUGAGUUCAUACCCCGUAAUGAAUCUUUUAACUAUUUUAAUUGUUUUAAGGGGGGGAUACAAGUUGAACACAAUGAUAAUUGUGUAAAUGUUUGUUAUAAACAUCUUUCAAAAUGUUACUUAUGUUAUUUAUAAGUUGUUAAAACAUUUCAAAACUCUUUUAAAGGUUAUGUUACUUUAUAGUUAUACAAAACUCCAUUUUUAAAGUAUAAGCAUAACUUUGUAGAUAAAAGAGUCCUUUCAGUAACAGUCCAGUUAGAGCAUUAGUAAAUUAUUAUAGGUAUAGUUUAAGAGAAUGCUAUUCAUUACUUCUAGUACAAUGAAGGACACACAGAACAGAACAGAACAGAACAGAACAUAAUAAGGUGCUAUAGCAUGGAACAAUUUCAGGAUGUAACUAUACCAAUGAAUCACAAGGCAUUAUGGUAGUUAUAUUGGGUAUACAUGAUCACAUAAUUGUAAUGUGGAUAAGGUGGCCUAGCAACUCGUUGCGAAAGUCAACCUUGAUUCCCAGAAUCUCUCGUAGGGAGAACGUUUAGUAUGGGAAUUUCUUAUCACAUUAUGACCUUAAUAAAACGCAUAUGUUUUUAGGUUGUUAGUACCUUCGUAUGUCAUUAUAAACGACAUUAGGGUACUCAUUUCUCCCAUUACUUUCAUAAAGUGUCGGUAACACUUGAAGGUUGAUCUAUUCUCUAAUCGAGAUAGGUUAUAAACUAGGGUGAAUGUACUUUACAGUUGACAAGGGAACAAUAGAGUCUUGGUAGAAGACUGCUUUCAUAACAGUAGAGUCUUGGUAGAAGACUGCUUUCAAAACAAUCGAGUCUUGGUAGAAGGCUACUUUUAAAAAGUUAGGACCAUGAUGCUAACCUUAUGAUUCCGUAAUGUAUACACUAUAGGAUACAUAUAUGCUAAGUAGAUUCCGACAGCUAAUAGGAUGUGUGUUCUUCGUUGUACGUCCUGUUCCCGUUGGAUGUGGGUUUACACCGAGGUCACCCAAUCUAUUAUCUACCCGAAUCUAUAUAUAUUUAUGCUUAGUAUACAUUAAGUCAUCAUAAGGGUACCAUGUAUGGAUCAGGUCAUAGGACACUAGAGUCAAUGCACAGUUUUCUAGUACAAAACUUUCAUUUCAAAGUCAAUACUUUUGGAUAUACAAAACUAGCGAUUUCCAAGUUAAGGGCUUAAUCCAUUUUAUUAAGCCAGUACAGUUUUAAAGACUUUAAGUGAGUUAACUCUAUAACACCUUAGUUUAUACACCAUGUUUAUAUAUAAGACUAAUAUCCGACAGCUAAUAGGAUGUGUGUUCUUCGCUGUACGUCCUGUUCCCGUUGGAUGUGGGUUUACACCGAGGUCACCCAAUCUAUUAUCUACCCGAUACCAAAUUAUAUAUAGCAGUAUAAACAAAGCUAUUAUAAAAGUAAUCACCAUAGUCAAUAUUUUAUUAUAAGAAAUAUAGGUUUUCUUAAAAGGAACUCUCCAUUAGACAUAAAGGAACCAUUACAAAUAACUCCAUGAGUAACAAGUGAAUACCCCAAGGUUAUAUAUGACAACGAUCUAACAACCAAUGUAAUAUGUGCUAUCCGCCUUACUUACUGUACUCCAUCGGGUUGUAGGUUGAGGGCAGAUGCGCAUAAUCGAUUGUUUGUUUACUCCAAGUAUAUAUAACUUGUACCCACUUAUUACACAUAGAAAGGCUUGUAGUGUCAUUUUACUCAACUCCUAUUUUAAGUAGGUAAUAUAUG